CCUGGAACCUUACCUGGGCUAGAAUGUAUUUUGCCACCUUGAGAAAUUGAGGGUUCCUUCGGGACGGAAUACAAGGUGCUGCAUGGCUGUCGUCAGCUCGUGCCGUGAGGUGUUGGGUUAAGUCCUAUAACGAGCGAAACCCUUUUACUUAAUUGCCAGCACGUAAUGGUGGGGACUUUAAGUAGACUGCCCGUGUAAGCGGGAGGAAGGAGAGGAUGAGGUCAAGUCAUCAUGGCCUUUAUGCCCAGGGCUACACACGUACUACAAUGGCAUGUACAAAGGGAAGCUACUUGGUAAUAAGAUGCAAAUCUUAAAAGCAUGUCUCAGUUCGGAUUGAGGUCUGCAAUUCGACCUCAUGAAGUUGGAAUCGCUAGUAAUCGCGUAUCAGCAAUGACGCGGUGAAUACGUUCUCGGACCUUGUACACACCGCCCAUCAAGCCAUGGGAGUUGGUAGAGCUUGAAGACAGUGGCAAG
rnacentral:rRNA from 1 species